rnacentral:lncRNA from 1 species
GCAAAGUUAUUCAAAAAUCCAGAUCGGAAAGUAAGUCUUUCAAGUCAAACACAAAAUAUAUAAAAAUAAAAAGCAUAGUUGUCACUGGAUCUGAGUUCGGGAAGAUAAAUAAAAUCAACUACAGCAGAUCCAUGAGUAAUGAAACAAAAAUAAGAGGAAACAAAAUAUCAACUCAAAAUAGAGACGUUGAUCCUAACAACUUUGCUGAAUAAAAUUGCAGAUCGGAAAACUAGUACAGAAAAAA